GGUUGGAUCAUUACUGAUUUCUGCCGAGGUAGGUCGAGUCUCUCGGGACUCCCUGCCGGAGCGAUACACCACUUGUGCACCAUAAUGUCUUUUGGGUCAUGGAAGUCGAUUGGCAACCGUGGCCCAGCUUUAUAAACCAAUUAAUUUUUUGUCUGAAAUAAUCUAGUAAUAGAAACAACUUUUGACAACGGAUCUCUUGGCUCUCGCAACGAUGAAGAACGCAGCGAAAUGCGAUACGUAAUGUGAAUUGCUUUCCGUGAAUCAUCGAAUCUUUGAACGCACAUUGCACUCUUUUAGAGUAUGCCUGUUUGAGAAUCUAUAGUAUUUAUUUUUGUCUAUAUUUUUUAGGAAGUAUAGGUAAAAGAUAUGGGGUUUCCCUCGCAAGGGGGUACUCUGAAAUAGAUUGCCUCUGUUUUGAUAGACUCGACGAAGUUUUUCAAUCCUGCAGAAAAGUAUUUGAAUGGAACUGUGGUUUCUCAAUAUGCUGAAUAUGUGGGGGAAAGAUGGAGAAUCUAUUUGGCAGAUGUCCAUACCCUAUAAGUCGGUCUUAGGAUCGGCUUGAACCAUGGUCUCAAAUCAGGUAGGAAGACCCGCUGAACUUAAGCAUAUCAAUAAGCGGAGGAAAAGAAACUAACAAGGAUUCCCCUAGUAACGGCGAGUGAAGCGGGAACAGCUCAAAUUUGAAAUCUCCUUCGGGCGAAUUGUAGUUUAGAGAAGCGUUUUCUGAUGGCGGAUAGGUACAAGUUCUUUGGAACAAGACAUCAUAGAGGGUGAAAAUCCCGUCUUUGACCUAUCUCAAGUCUAUGUGAUACGUUUUCCAAGAGUCGGUUUGUUUGGGAAUGCAGACCAAAAUGGGAGGUAAAUACCUUCUAAAGCUAAAUAUUGGCGAGAGACCGAUAGCGAACAAGUACCGUGAGGGAAAGAUGAAAAGAACUUUGAAAAGAGAGUUAAACAGUACGUGAAAUUGUCAAAAGGGAAACGUUUGAAACCAGUAUUGCUGGCGAGAAUUCAGCUCCCAUUUAUGGUAGUGUACUUUCUCGUUAGCGAGUCAACAUCAGUUUGACUUGGAGCAAAAAGCCAUGGAAAGGUAGCCCUUUGGGUGUUAUAGUCCAUGGUCAUACUCUAGGUUGGACUGAGGACUGCAGCGUUUUUGCCUUUGGGACACCAGCGCUUAGGAUGUUGACGAAAUGGUUUUAAGCGACCCGUCUUGAAACACGGACCAAGGAGUCUAACAUAUAUGCGAGUAUUUGGGUGGUAAACCCUUAUGCGUAAUGAAAGUGAAAAGGUGGGAUCCAAUAGGUGCACCAUCGACCGCGCCAGAUUAUUACUAUCUCGGCGUGAGUAUGAGCAUACAUGCUGGGACCCGAAAGAUGGUGAACUAUGCCUGAAUAGGGUGAAGCCAGAGGAAACUCUGGUGGAGGCUCGUAGAGAUUCUGACGUGCAAAUCGAUCUUCAAAUUUGGGUAUAGGGGCGAAAGACUAAUCGAACCAUCUAGUAGCUGGUUCCCUC
rnacentral:misc_RNA from 1 species